CUUUCAACGCUGGUGCAGCUUGCCGCUUGCAAGGGACAGAUCUUUCAAGCAGACCGAAGGCAGCCUCAUUAUUUAAUGUUUCCGUCUAGUAUUCUUAAACGAGAUGUUAGUUCAACGUUACAGUGUAAUUUUAGAAUUAAAUCGUCAAGUUUGGUCACAAAAGUUCAACAUUAUUGCUGCAAUGGAAUCCUUGGCGCGAGGAGCCACGUGGAGUCAAAGAUGGGUCACAUGAUUACACUAUGAAUGCCACAAGUCAAACUGGUUGACGUCCUUCUACUCCUGUCUCACAUGUGACUUAGGAGCCCUCUAUGGUUCAGACCUAGAUGGACGCCACUCCGUCUGAGGGUUCCUGACAAUCUGGCUUUCCCAACUGGGACUGUUCCUGUGACCAGACGAGGGGGAAGAAGCUGAAUGGUUGGCUUCAGAUCAGGCGUGCCCACCGAGCAUUCACCAGGC